UACGUAGGGUGCGAGCGUUAAUCGGAAUUACUGGGCGUAAAGUGUGCGCAGGCGGCCGCGCAAGUCGAGUGUGAAAUCCCCGAGCUUAACUUGGGAAUUGCGCUCGAAACUACGUGGCUGGAGUGUGGCAGAGGAAGGUGGAAUUCCACGUGUAGCGGUGAAAUGCGUAGAGAUGUGGAGGAACACCGAUGGCGAAGGCAGCCUUCUGGGCCAACACUGACGCUGAGGAGCGAAAGCCAGGGGAGCAAACGGG
rnacentral:rRNA from 1 species